rnacentral:lncRNA from 1 species
UGAAUUCUGAAUUUACAACAUACAUAUGCUUGGAAUGCCGCAAAAAUGGUUAUGAUACAUUGGCAGGCAUAAGCUUUUGUUUGUCGAUAAGGAUAAAGAAUGAGAUACAUUGUAUUCUUCAGACUCUGAUUAUCAAGAGACACCCCCCUCCCUUGGGAUGCAAUCAUUGGAAAGAAGCCAAACCAACCAAUUCCUCUUUUGGUAAAACCAUCAGUACAGCUCACCUUUAAUUUCAGCUAUUUGUACCAUCACAUCGGGAUCACCGUCUAUGCCCAAUUAGUGAGUGACAGACUUUCAACUUUUGGUACU